CUCUUCUGUCCCUGUCCAUCUCUGCCCUUCCUCCCUCUCUGCCUCAGCCUGUCUCUGGUGGUCUCCAUCCCUCUGGCGUCUCUGCCUGUCUCCCGUCUCUGUGUCAGCCAGCAUCUCUCUUUGUGUAUCUCCAUCUCUGCCCCAUCUGUUGGGUCCUCUCUCUCUCUCUCCAUCCUUCCCUCCAUCCUCUCUCCUGCAUCCUCCCACCUCCUCUCCAUCCCUCCAGCUGG
rnacentral:lncRNA from 1 species